ACUUCGGUGGGGAUUAGUGGCGAACGGUGAGUAACACGUGGGCAAUCUGCCUUCACUCUGGGACAGCCCUGGAAACGGGGUCUAAUACCGGAUACAACCACCGGCCGCAUGGCCUGGUGGUGGAAAGCUCCGGCGGUGAAGGAUGAGCCCGCGGCUAUCAGCUUGUUGGUGAGGUAACGGCUCACCAAGGCGACGACGGGUAGCCGGCCUGAGAGGGCGACCGGCCACACUGGGACUGAGACACGGCCCAGACUCCUACGGGAGGCAGCAGUGGGGAAUAUUGCACAAUGGGCGAAAGCCUGAUGCAGCGACGCCGCGUGAGGGAUGACGGCCUUCGGGUUGUAAACCUCUUUCAGCAGGGAAGAAGCGAAAGUGACGGUACCUGCAGAAGAAGCGCCGGCUAACUACGUGCCAGCAGCCGCGGUAAUACGGAGGG
rnacentral:rRNA from 1 species